rnacentral:rRNA from 1 species
GGGCUACACACGUGCUACAAUGGCCGGUACAGACGGACGCAAAGCCGCGAGGUGGAGCAAAUCCUAAAAAGCCGGUCUCAGUUCGGAUUGCAGGCUGCAAUUCGCCUGCAUGAAGUCGGAAUCGCUAGUAAUCGCAGGUCAGCAUACCGCGGUGAAUACGUUCCCGGGCCUU